UACGUAGGUGGCGAGCGUCGUCCGGAUUUACUGGGCGUAAAGGGAGCGUAGGCGGACUUUUAAGUGAGAUGUGAAAUACUCGGGCUCAACUUGAGUGCUGCAUUUCAAACUGGAAGUCUAGAGUGCAGGAGAGGAGAAUGGAAUUCCUAGUGUAGCGGUGAAAUGCGUAGAGAUUAGGAAGAACACCAGUGGCGAAGGCGAUUCUCUGGACUGUGACUGACGCUGAGGCUCGAAAGCGUGGGGAGCAAACAGG
rnacentral:rRNA from 1 species